rnacentral:misc_RNA from 1 species
AAGCAUUUCUCCCAAAAGUGCGAAGCAUCUACGCAAAAAAAACAGUCCAAUGGACUGAGUUCCGAUCCCGCUUCGAUGUGUCGGAUCAUGCGUAAAACAAGAAAUAGAGCGGUUCCGCCGACCCCGUAACUGCUCCAUCCGGCCGUUUCCAGCAUUCGUUUUCCUUCCGCGAUUUUGUGAAACCAAGCCGGCU